UACAGAGACUGCGAGCGUUAUUCGGAUUCACUGGGCGUAAAGGGCGCGUAGGUGGCCCCUCAAGCGUGCGGUGAAAGUCAGGGGCUCAACCCCUGAUCGGCCGUGCGAACUGGGGAGCUUGAGCACUGUAGAGGCAGGCGGAAUUCCGGGUGUAGCGGUGGAAUGCGUAGAGAUCCGGAAGAACACCGGUGGCGAAGGCGGCCUGCUGGGCAGUUUUGCUGACACUGAGGCGCGACAGCGUGGGGAGCAAACAGG
rnacentral:rRNA from 1 species